GACGAACGCUGGCGGCGUGCUUAACACAUGCAAGUCGAACGGAAAGGCCCUGCUUUUGUGGGGUGCUCGAGUGGCGAACGGGUGAGUAACACGUGAGUAACCUGCCCUUGACUUUGGGAUAACUUCAGGAAACUGGGGCUAAUACCGGAUAGGAGCUCCUGCUGCAUGGUGUUGGUUGGAGAGUUUCGGCGGUUGUGGAUGGACUCGCGGCUUAUCAGCUUGUUGGUGAGGUAGUUGCUUACCAAGGCUUUGACGGAUAGCCUGCAUGAGAGGGUGAACGGGCACAAUGCGACUGAGAUAGGGACCAGACUGCAACGGGAGGCAGUGGUGGGGAACAUUGCACAGUGGGCGGAAGCCUGAUGCAGAAGCGCCGCGUGCGGAAUGACGGCCUUCGGGUUAUAAACAGAUUUCGACUGUGACGUAGAGUGAGUGACGGUAAUGGGUAAGGAAGCACCGGCUAACUACGUG
rnacentral:rRNA from 1 species